GACGAACGCUGGCGGCGUGCCUAAUACAUGCAAGUAGAACGCUGAAGAGAGGAGCUUGCUCUUCUUGGAUGAGUUGCGAACGGGUGAGUAACGCGUAGGUAACCUGCCUUGUAGCGGGGGAUAACUAUUGGAAACGAUAGCUAAUACCGCAUAACAAUGGAUGACACAUGCCAUUUAUUUGAAAGGGGCAAUUGCUCCACUACAAGAUGGACCUGCGUUGUAUUAGCUAGUAGGUGAGGUAACGGCUCACCUAGGCGACGAUACAUAGCCGACCUGAGAGGGUGAUCGGCCACACUGGGACUGAGACACGGCCCAGACUCCUACGGGAGGCAGCAGUAGGGAAUCUUCGGCAAUGGGGGCAACCCUGACCGAGCAACGCCGCGUGAGUGAAGAAGGUUUUCGGAUCGUAAAGCUCUGUUGUAAGUCAAGAACGAGUGUGAGAGUGGAAAGUUCACACUGUGACGGUAGCUUACCAGAAAGGGACGGCUAACUACGUGCCAGCAGCCGCGGUAAUACGUAGGUCCCGAGCGUUGUCCGGAUUUAUUGGGCGUAAAGCGAGCGCAGGCGGUUUGAUAAGUCUGAAGUUAAAGGCUGUGGCUCAACCAUAGUUCGCUUUGGAAACUGUCAAACUUGAGUGCAGAAGGGGAGAGUGGAAUUCCAUGUGUAGCGGUGAAAUGCGUAGAUAUAUGGAGGAACACCGGUGGCGAAAGCGGCUCUCUGGUCUGUAACUGACGCUGAGGCUCGAAAGCGUGGGGAGCGAACAGGAUUAGAUACCCUGGUAGUCCACGCCGUAAACGAUGAGUGCUAGGUGUUGGAUCCUUUCCGGGAUUCAGUGCCGCAGCUAACGCAUUAAGCACUCCGCCUGGGGAGUACGACCGCAAGGUUGAAACUCAAAGGAAUUGACGGGGGCCCGCACAAGCGGUGGAGCAUGUGGUUUAAUUCGAAGCAACGCGAAGAACCUUACCAGGUCUUGACAUCCCGAUGCUAUUUCUAGAGAUAGAAAGUUACUUCGGUACAUCGGUGACAGGUGGUGCAUGGUUGUCGUCAGCUCGUGUCGUGAGAUGUUGGGUUAAGUCCCGCAACGAGCGCAACCCCUAUUGUUAGUUGCCAUCAUUCAGUUGGGCACUCUAGCGAGACUGCCGGUAAUAAACCGGAGGAAGGUGGGGAUGACGUCAAAUCAUCAUGCCCCUUAUGACCUGGGCUACACACGUGCUACAAUGGUUGGUACAACGAGUUGCGAGUCGGUGACGGCAAGCUAAUCUCUUAAAGCCAAUCUCAGUUCGGAUUGUAGGCUGCAACUCGCCUACAUGAAGUCGGAAUCGCUAGUAAUCGCGGAUCAGCACGCUGCGGUGAAUACGUUCCCGGGCCU
rnacentral:rRNA from 1 species